rnacentral:lncRNA from 1 species
AUGAUGCAGAGCAGGACGAUGAGGAGGAUGCUGCUGCUGCUGCUCGAGGAUCCAAAUCACACCCGGAGCCGGAGCCACAACCAGAAGCAGGAGAAGAGAGCCGCUCGCGAAGCCCUCGCGCCAUGUGGUCCUUGCCUCUCUCCCUCUCUCUCUGUCUCUGCUGGGAUCCAAGCUCACGGAGGUAUCAAGGGCAAACCUUUCCAUGUGCUAUGGAGCCUGUUGCUCUGCUUGGAGGAGCCAUCCUGAUGCAACCUGGGGAGGCCGACCGGCUGUUACAGAAGCACCCCAUGCUGACUGAAGAUGAUGAGCAACCACCAUGAUGGACGAUACGUACCUUGCUGAACUGGGAAAUCAUGCUACCAUACAGAAACAAUGCCAUUAUUACUUCUAAACUGGCUUAGAAGUCUUAUUUAAUCUAGAAUGCUCAGGAGGGGUGGGCAGCCACUGGCACUUGGACCCUCAUAGGUUUUUUUUUUUUCCUCCCUUGACUUUCAGUUGGGAGUUUUUUGUUCCUCUCCUUCGUGACUAGUAGGCAUACUUAUAUCUUUAUAAAUGCAUUGAUAUUGUAUUAUGCUAGUCUGUAGUCAACUGUCUUCUUUGUUUCCUUGUCUGAUGUAUUUAUUUCUUUGCUUUAUGCCUGUGUUCAAGCGCUC